UUCGCCCUUAGAGUUUGAUCCUGGCUCAGGACGAACGCUGGCGGCGUGCUUAACACAUGCAAGUCGAGCGAGGUUACUGGAAGCUUCGGCAGAAGGUAAUCGAGCGGCGGACGGGUGAGUAACGCGUGAGCAAUCUGUCCCGUACAGCCGGAUACCAGAUGGAAACAUCUGCUAAUACGGCAUAAGACCACGGAAUCGCAUGGUUCAGAGGUAAAAGAAAUUCGGUACGGGGUGAGCUCGCGUCCGAUUAGAUAGUUGGUGAGGUAACGGCCCACUAAGUCUGCGAUCGGUAGCCGACCUGAGAGGGUGAUCGGCCACAUUGGAACUGAGACACGGUCCAAACUCCUACGGGAGGCAGCAGUGGGGAAUAUUGGGCAAUGGGCGGAAGCCUGACCCAGCAACGCCGCGUGAGGGAAGAAGGUUUUCGGAUUGUAAACCUCUGUCCUCAAGGACGAAGGAAGUGACGGUACUUGAGGAGGAAGCCCCGGCUAACUACGUGCCAGCAGCCGCGGUAAUACGUAGGUAGCGAGCGUUGCCCGGAAUUACUGGGUGUAAAGGGAGUGUAGGCGGGUUAUCAAGUCCGCUGUUAAAUCUCACGGCUUCAACCGUGAGCUGCGGCGGAAACUGAAUGAUCUUGAGUGAGGGUAGACGCAAACCGGAAUUCCACGUGUAGCGGUGAAAUGCGUAGAGAUGUGGAAGAACACCAGUGGCGAAGGCGGCUUGCUGGGCCUUAACUGACGCUGAGGCUCGAAAGUGUGGGGAGCAAACAGGAUUAGAUACCCUGGUAGUCCACACUGUAAACGAUGAUUACUAGGUGUGGGGGGACUGACCCCUUCCGUGCCGGAGUAAACACAAUAAGUAAUCCACCUGGGGAGUACGGCCGCAAGGUUGAAACUCAAAGGAAUUGACGGGGGCCCGCACAAGCAGUGGAGUAUGUGGUUUAAUUCGAAGCAACGCGAAGAACCUUACCAGGUCUUGACAUCUCCUGCAUAUCUAAGAGAUUAGAGAAGUCCUUCGGGACAGGAAGACAGGUGGUGCAUGGUUGUCGUCAGCUCGUGUCGUGAGAUGUCGGGUUAAGUCCCGCAACGAGCGCAACCCACGUUGCCAGUUGGUACUGGAGGUAUACUUUCAGGAAUCUCUCUGGCGAGACUGCCGGUGAUAAACCGGAGGAAGGUGUGGACGACGUCAAAUCAUCAUGCCCCUUAUGCUCUGGGCUACACACGUGUUACAAUGGUCGGUACAACGAGCAGCGAACCUGCGAGGGUAAGCAAAUCUCUAAAAGCCGAUCUCAGUUCGGAUUGGACUCUGCAACUCGAGUCCAUGAAGUCGGAAUCGCUAGUAAACGCAGAUCAGCACGCUGCGUUGAAUACGUUCCCGGGUCUUGCACACACCGCCCGUCA
rnacentral:rRNA from 1 species